rnacentral:snRNA from 1 species
CUAAGCAGAAUAUAGCAU